GACGAACGCUGGCGGCGUGCCUAAUACAUGCAAGUAGAACGCUGAAGGAAGGAGCUUGCUCUUUCCGGAUGAGUUGCGAACGGGUGAGUAACGCGUAGGUAACCUGCCUGGUAGCGGGGGAUAACUAUUGGAAACGAUAGCUAAUACCGCAUAAUAGUAGAUGUUACAUGACUUUUGCUUAAAAGGUGCAAUUGCAUCACUACCAGAUGGACCUGCGUUGUAUUAGCUAGUUGGUGAGGUAACGGCUCACCAGGGCAACGAUACAUAGCCGACCUGAGAGGGUGAUCGGCCACACUGGGACUGAGACACGGCCCAGACUCCUACGGGAGGCAGCAGUAGGGAAUCUUCGGCAAUGGACGGAAGUCUGACCGAGCAACGCCGCGUGAGUGAAGAAGGUUUUCGGAUCGUAAAGCUCUGUUGUAAGAGAAGAACGAGUGUGAGAGUGGAAAGUUCACACUGUGACGGUAUCUACCA
rnacentral:rRNA from 1 species